ensembl:lncRNA
CAGGGGGAACCCAAUGAGCUUAUAUACAGGGGGCUACUAAUGAGGUUAUAUACAGGGGGCUCCUAAUGAGGUUAUAUACAGGGGGCUCCUAAUGAGGUUAUAUACAGGGGGCACCUGAUGAGGUUAUAUACAGGGGGCACCUGAUGAGGUUAUAUACAGGGGGCACCUGAUGAGGUUAUAUACAGGGGGCACCUGAUGAGGCUAUAUACAGGGGACACCUAAUGAGGUUAUAUACAGGGGGCUCCUAAUGAGGUUAUAUACAGGGGGCACCUAAUGAGGCUAUAUGUGUGGGGGGGGCAUCUAAUGAGGUUAUAUACAGGGGCACCUGAUGAGGUUAUAUACAGGGGGCACCUGAUGAGGUUAUACAGGGGGCACCUGAUGAGGUUAUAUACAGGGGGCACCUGAUGAGGUUAUAUACAGGGGACACCUAAUGAGGCUAUAUACAGGGGACACCAAUGAGGUUAUAUACAGGGGGCACCUAAUGAGGUUAUAUACAGGGGGCAAUGGUACCGAUUCAGUGUGGAGGCUAUAUACAGGGGGCACCGGUACCGAGUCAGUGUGUGG